rnacentral:misc_RNA from 1 species
AACAUCGCGCACCUGCGGGAACCUGCGGAGGGAUCAUUACCGAGUUUACAACUCCCAAACCCCUGUGAACAUACCACUUGUUGCCUCGGCGGAUCAGCCCGCUCCCGGUAAAACGGGACGGCCCGCCAGAGGACCCCUAAACUCUGUUUCUAUAUGUAACUUCUGAGUAAAACCAUAAAUAAAUCAAAACUUUUAACAACGGAUCU